rnacentral:rRNA from 1 species
UAUGAACGCUGGCGGCGUGCCUAAUACAUGCAAGUCGAACGCUUCACAUCGGUGAAGAGUGGCGAACGGGUGAGUAAUACAUAAGUAACCUGGCAUCUACAGGGGGAUAACUGAUGGAAACGUCAGCUAAGACCGCAUAGGUGUAGAGAUCGCAUGAACUCUAUAUGAAAAGUGCUACGGGACUGGUAGAUGAUGGACUUAUGGCGCAUUAGCUGGUUGGUAGGGUAACGGCCUACCAAGGCGACGAUGCGUAGCCGACCUGAGAGGGCGAACGGCCACAUUGGGACUGAGACACGGCCCAA